CCUGAGCGACCUGGAUGCCUGUCCAUUGCCUGGACACGGCACCAACCCAACAACGACCGGAUCGCCGGAUGU
rnacentral:sRNA from 1 species